rnacentral:rRNA from 1 species
AGCAGCAGCCGCGGGAAUACGAAGGGGGCUAGCGUUGUUCGGAAUUAUUGGGCGUAAAGGGUGCGUAGGCGGUUUGAUAAGUUUGGUGUGAAAUCUCUGGGCUCAACCCAGAGUCUGCAUCGAAAACUGUCGGGCUUGAGUAUGGGAGAGGUGAGUGGAAUUUCCGGUGUAGCGGUGAAAUGCGUAGAUAUCGGAAGGAACACCUGUGGCGAAAGCGGCUCACUGGACCAUAACUGACGCUGAUGCACGAAAGCUAGGGGAGCAAACAGGAUUAGAUACCCCAGUAGUCCCUGUCUCUUAUAC